GUUACUGGUAGCUGAACACAAGUUCUAAACCAUUGGUGGGAAAACAAGUUAUAGAAACUGAGCUUGGAAAAAACACAGCUGGCCUGAGAUGAAAUACCUGCAGUAACCCUUGUUUUUCGUGUGCCCACAAGUUUGGUUGUUUACUAUUUGGUUGUUUGGUUGUUUACAAUUGAACAGGUAUGGUCUAAAUCAUGUUUCUUAGGGUAUCAACAAGUUGAUGAUGUUUUCUGUAGUUUUGUUCCCGGUGGAGGAUGACUGUGUAGCAGUAGUUCCACGCCAGGUAUAUGUUGAUCUUGUAAUUGUUGCAAUGUUUACUUGGUUUCACCAUAUUUACCAGUUCACCAACUUUUAUGUUUAUUUUUAGGAUGGAGCAAGCACAGUACUACAGGGAACCAGAGAGGUACUCCGCGCCACCAUGUCGAGGAUGGCUACAUAGGGCAAGAAGGCAGAGGUAGGCGGACAUUUUAGCUCUGCACAUGAAUAAGAUCAAGUGGCUGACUGAAGAGAAAGUCGAGGUGAGGGCACAGCUGGCUCUACAAUCAGGAGCCAUAAGGAAGAAUCUUUCCAACUGGGAUGCCACUGAUGAGGCUGUCCAGAACCAGGUCCCCAGGUACCAGAAAGGGGCAGCUGACCAUGCAGGUGGGUGAUGUUGCGGCGUUUCAAGGGACCUGCCGUGAAUAUGAAUGACAUCUCCAGC
ensembl:lncRNA